AUGGUUAGCUUGAGGAGACGUCGACUAUUGGGUCUUUGUUCUGGCAAAGAUUCAUUGCCAGUUGAUCUUCCUAAGCCUGUUGAGAAUGAAAAACAUGGGGAAGUUGAACAUGCAAAUGUCAAUCCGCUCAGUGUGCACCCACUGCCCUUGACCAGGACUUCUGACGUACUUCCAGAAUCCUCAAAUGGUUCCGACUCUCUGAAGGAAGAGAAAAACCAAUACUAUCCAGGUAAGGAGAUUAAGCGCAGAAAGCGACAUAGAAGAAAGCAGUAUGUGGACCAAGAGCCAUGCAUAAUGAGAGGGGUCUAUUUCAAAAAUAUGAAAUGGCAAGCUGCUAUAAAAGUUGACAAGAAACAAAUUCACUUGGGUACUGUUGGAACACAGGAUGAGGCAGCCCGGCUAUAUGAUAGGGCUGCUUUUAUGUGUGGAAGAGAGCCCAAUUUUGAACUUUCUGAGGAAGAGAAAAACGAACUGGUUAAGUACACAUGGGACGAUUUCCUGGCAAUAACACGCAACACCAUAACCAGCAAAAAACAAAGAAAGGUUGGGUCGCUAAGGCAUAAUAAGGCAGACUUGUUCAUAGGAGAUACUGAGAUGGUCAAUGGUGGCGGGUCUUCGAACUCAGAUGAUGGAGAUGUUGACACAUCGGUAUCCUAG
rnacentral:rRNA from 1 species